CACACACACACACACACACAGACACAGACACACACACAGACACACACACACACACAGACACACACACACACACACAGACACACACACACACACAGACACACACACACAGACACACACACACACACACACAGACACACACACACAGACACACAGACACACACACACAGACACACACACACAGACACAUUUACACAACAGACACAAAAAAAUCACAUCACUGCACAGUAAAUAAAAACGUCAGCUUCUUUUCACCUUUCUGAUUUUUCUUUUUCUUUUUUUUCUUCUUGUCAGUUUUGGGAGCUGCAGCGAGAAGGAGAGCCACAAACUGCUCAAUGUCAUUAAUCAGGCUCAUUUCCUGUCCCCAAACUCGUCCCAUCGUCUCCAACAGUUUCAGACGCUCCACACAGUCCUGCAGUCCUGAGACUUCCACACCAUCCAGCUCACAGCAUGAUGUGAGAUGUGACGCUGAGCGCUCUCUGAACUCAAACACAUUGUACAUCAAAGACCUCGAGAAGAUCCAGCUCUCCUCACUGACCAGCAGGGACAUGCCGUCUGGACCGAGGGAGAAACUGGAAGAUGAUGACCUUUUAUUUACAGUCACAUCUCUACAUUAAUUAAAGUCCGGUUCUGUUCCAUACAUAUACUCCCACACACGUGUGUGUGUGUCAAAUAGCAUUUAUAAGAUAAUGAAAUAAUCUAAAAUAGUUCACAAGUUGGAUUUUUUACCUGCUCU